GCUAAACAGAGUGAGUACGGCGGUGCGCUAAACAGAGUGAGUACGGCGGUGCGCUAAACAGAGUGAGUACGGCAGUGCGCUAAACAGAGUGAGUACGGCGGUGUGCUAAACAACCAAAGAUUUCAAGACUAAAGGUCGGUUUAUACGACGUCUAUCGACAGUUGUCGCCAUGACAUCAUAAACAUUCUAUUGUCAUCCGACAUCAAACUUGUCGUUAUGAAAGAUUCCCCGGGAGGGGCGGUUCCCCUUUCAGCCCCGUAGGAAACACCAGGUAGGGAGGGGCGGUUCCCCUUUCAGCCCCGGAGGAAACACCAGGUAGGGAGGGGCGGUUCCCCUUUCAGCCCCGUAGGAAACACCAGGGAGGGAGGGGCGGUUCCCCUUUCAGCCCCGUAGGAAACACCAGGUAGGGAGGGGCGGUUCCCCUUUCAGCCCCGGAGGAAACACCAGGUAGGGAGGGGCGGUUCCCCUUUCAGCCCCGGAGGAAACACCAGGGAGGGAGGGGCGGUUCCCCUUUCAGCCCCGUAGGAAACACCAGGUAGGGAGGGGCGGUUCCCCUUUCAGCCCCGGAGGAAACACCAGGUAGGGAGGGCGGUUCCCCUUUCAGCCCCUUAAGGCAAGCACCAGGUAGGGAGGGGCGGUUCCCUUGCUGCCCCUUAUUAAGGCAAGCACCGGGUAGGGAGGGGCGGUUCCCUUGCUGCCCCUUAUUAAGGCAAGCACCGGGUAGGGAGGGGCGGUUCCCUUGCUGCCCCUUAUUAAGGCAAGCACCGGGUAGGGAGGGGCGGUUCCCUUGCUGCCCCUUAUUAAGGCAAGCACCGGGUAGGGAGGGGCGGUUCCCUUGCUGCCCCUUAUUAAGGCAAGCACCAGGGUCUUGAACUGGAGGGACAUUACUCAGAGAGUUCAUCACUGCCAGAUUAUAUCUGACAGUCAACAGUUCUGUGUGGUUUUAUUUGGAAGUUAGGAGAGAGAGCAUGUCAGAAGGUCAUGGGUCAUACAUGUUAGGGUUAGGGAUCAAAUCCAUCCCCGCUCUGGUACACAUGUGUCUGUUAGGGUUAGGGAUCAAAUCCAUCCCCGCUCUGGUACACGUGUGUCUGGAAUACACUGAAUGCUGGUUGGGUUAGGGUUAGGGAUCAUCCUGUUGUUGCAGGAAUUUUCCAGCACAGCAGGAAAUGUAAAUAGGACUGUAUACGAGGUUGAAAAACACAUCAGAAGUUUGUGAUUUCCACUUUUCAAAUGAUUUUCUUAGAUUUUUCCCUAAUGAAAAAUGUACCAACCCCUACAGAUUAAAAAAAUAAAUUAUAAUCCACAAUACAAUUUACAUUUCCUGUUGCUGCAGUAUUAUUUUCCUUCUUUAGCACACUGGCUCAAAUUAUGAUACGACAUCUGUACAGUAUGAACAGCUGGGACACAACAAACUGCACCCUGGGAAAGAUCUGAACACUUUAGACAGGGAAAGACCUGGACACUUUAUACAGGGAAAGACCUCAACACUUUAUACAGGGAAAGACCUGAACAGUUCUACAGAGAAAGACCAGAACACUUUAUACACCGAAAGAUUUCAAAACUUUAUACAGCAAAAGAUUUCAACACUUUAUAAAGGGAAAGCCCUCAAAACCUUAUAGGUCUCAACACAUUAUAUAGGGAAAUAGCUCAACACUUUAUACAAGGAAAGAUCACAACACUUUAUAGGGAAAGAUGUCAACACUUUAUACAGGGAAAGACCUCAACUUUAUUCAGGGAAAGAUUUCAACACUUUAUACAGGGAAAGAUCUCAACACUUUUUAUACGGGGAAAAAUUUCAACACUUUAUACAGGGAAAGACCUGAACACUUUAUACAGGGAAAGAUCUCAACACUUUAUACAGGGAAAGACCUCAACACUUUAUACAGGGAAAGACCAACAUUUUAUACAGGGAAAGAACUCAACACUUCAUACAGGGAAAGACCAACAUUUUAUACAGGGAAAGAUAACACUUUAAACAGCGAAAUAUUUCAAAACUUUAUACAGCGAUAGACUUCAACACUUUAUAAAGGGAAAGAUUUCAGUACUUUAUACUGGGAAAGGCCUCAACACUUCAUACAGGGAAAGAUCUGAACACUUUAUACAGGGAAAAACCAACACUUUAUACAGGGAAAGAUUUCAGUACUUUAUACAGGGAAAGA
rnacentral:lncRNA from 1 species